ACCUGUUUUGUAUGACAGGCUAAAGGUUAUAACCUGUUUUGUAUGAUAGGCUAAAGGUUAUCACCUGUUUUGUAUGACAGGCUAAAGGUUAUAACCUGUUUUGUAUGACAGGCUAUAGGUUAUAACCUGUUUUGUAUGACAGGCUAAAGGUUAUAACCUGGUUUGUAUGACAGGCUAUAGGUUAUAACCUGUUUUGUAUGACAGGCUAAAGGUUAUAACCUGUUUUGUAUGACAGGCUAAAGGUUAUAACCUGUUUUGUAUGACAGGCUAUAGGUUAUAACCUGUUUUAUAUGACAGGCUAAAGGUUAUAACCUGUUAUGGAUUAUAGGCAAAAGGUUAUAACCUGUUAAGGAUUAUAGGCUAUAGGUUAUAACCUGUUAUGGAUGAUAGGCUAUAGGUUAUAACCUGUUAUGGAUUAUAGGCAAAAGGUUAUAACCUGUUGUGAAUGAUAGGCUUUAUGUUAUAACCUGUUAUGGAUUAUAAACUAUAGGUUAUAACCUGUAAUGGAUUAUUGGUUAUAACAAGAAAGGACCACACUCUUUUUACUAACAAAACUGUGAUGACUGUUGAGAAGGUGACAUAUCCAGAAAGAAGUCCUAACUAUAUGUUCUUUGAAUUCAUACUUAAAAAAUGUCCGCAUUGUUUUUUUAAAAUUGUUAACCAAAUUAGAUUUAGUGAUUGUACAAUAUUAAAAGUGUACAUUUUGUUCAUUUAAAGCGAAGAAGGGAAUAAGACAUAAUUGCGUAUCUUAUUAUUAUCUUAUUAUUAUAAAGAGUAAGAAACCUCUUCUUCUGGUCUGUUUCUAUCCACAACGUUGUAUACAAUUGCUGGUUUUGUAAUGCACUGUAGAGAAAGCAGUUCCACUGUUCAUUUUUCUUCUCUUUUUUUUAAAUAGAAAUGGUAUUUCGAUGGUGUAUUCUUUUUGUUUGAUAAAUAAAGUUUUGAUACAAAAUA
ensembl:lncRNA